UACGUAGGGUGCGAGCGUUAAUCGGAAUUACUGGGCGUAAAGCGUGCGCAGGCGGUUCGCUAAGACCGAUGUGAAAUCCCCGGGCUUAACCUGGGAACUGCAUUGGUGACUGGCGGGCUAGAGUAUGGCAGAGGGGGGUAGAAUUCCACGUGUAGCAGUGAAAUGCGUAGAGAUGUGGAAGAACACCGAUGGCGAAGGCAGCCCCCUGGGAUGUGACUGACGCUCAUGUACGAAAGCGUGGGGAGCAAACAGG
rnacentral:rRNA from 1 species